AGUGAACGCUGGCGGCAGGCCUAACACAUGCAAGUCGAGCGGCCGCACAGUAAGAGCUUGCUCUUACGGGUGGCGAGUGGCGGACGGGUGAGGAAUACAUCGGAAUCUACUUUUUCGUGGGGGAUAACGUAGGGAAACUUACGCUAAUACCGCAUAUGACCUACGGGUGAAAGCAGGGGAUCUUCGGACCUUGCGCGAUUGAAUGAGCCGAUGUCGGAUUAGCUAGUUGGCGGGGUAAAGGCCCACCAAGGCGACGAUCCGUAGCUGGUCUGAGAGGAUGAUCGGCCACACUGGAACUGAGACACGGUCCAGACUCCUACGGGAGGCAGCAGUGGGGAAUAUUGGGCAAUGGGCGCAAGCCUGAUCCAGCCAUACCGCGUGGGUGAAGAAGGUCUUCGGGUUGUAAAGCCCUUUUGUUGGGAAAGAAAAACAGCAGGUUAAUACCCCGCUGUUCUGACGGUACCCAAAGAAUAAGCACCGGCUAACUUCGUG
rnacentral:rRNA from 1 species